CCCCAUGGCGGCAGCUACACAUGCAGUCGAGCGAGCUCUUCGGAGCUAGCGGCGGACGGGUUAGUAACGCGUGGGAACGUGCCCUUCACUGCGGAAUAGCCACUGGAAACGGUGAGUAAUACCGCAUACGCCCUUCGGGGGAAAGAUUUAUCGGUGAAGGAUCGGCCCGCGUUAGAUUAGAUAGUUGGUGGGGUAACGGCCUACCAAGUCUACGAUCUAUAGCUGGUUUUAGAGGAUGAUCAGCAACACUGGGACUGAGACACGGCCCAGACUCCUACGGGAGGCAGCAGUGGGGAAUCUUGGACAAUGGGCGCAAGCCUGAUCCAGCCAUGCCGCGUGAGUGAUGAAGGCCUUAGGGUCGUAAAGCUCUUUCGCCAGAGAUGAUAAUGACAGUAUCUGGUAAAGAAACCCCGGCUAACUCCGUGCCAGCAGCCGCGGUAAUACGGAGGGGGUUAGCGUUGUUCGGAAUUACUGGGCGUAAAGCGCACGUAGGCGGAUCAGAAAGUUGGGGGUGAAAUCCCGGGGCUCAACCCCGGAACUGCCUCCAAAACUCCUGGUCUUGAGUUCGAGAGAGGUGAGUGGAAUUCCGAGUGUAGAGGUGAAAUUCGUAGAUAUUCGGAGGAACACCAGUGGCGAAGGCGGCUCACUGGCUCGAUACUG
rnacentral:rRNA from 1 species